GGAAAGCAGCAAUAAUAUUUAAAGGUGGAUCUUACUGCAACAGGGGAAAGGACUGCUCCUCAAAGCUGUCCUCUAGCGGCUGAUGAACAGGAAGAUGGAAAAAGCAAGUCACCCUUCCACCAGCCCCACCACAGUACACUGCCAGGCAACUUUCCACCCUGAGCUAGAAAUUCUGGGAAAGGCGUUAAUAACACAUUGAUGUAAUGAUGCAACUAGAAGCUAGAAAAAAAGUGCACGGGGAUCCUGCUGGUUUGGCCAGACUAUGAAAAUAAGCUUCAAAUGACCAAAUGCAACUGCAACUUUAAAAGUAGGAACCAAACCAGACACAACAAACCACAGAACAGUCAGCCUAACUUGUCAUAAUUCAUGUGUGUGGAAUUCAACUGUAGCAGCAUUUACUGAGUGCUAAAUUUCCACCCCUGGCACAUUCCAUGAAGAAAUGUCAAAUUUUGAAAAGCUGCUGAUAAGACACUCCUGAUUACAAGUCAUGUCAUUAAUCAAAAAAUAUUUAUCCCAACAUGCAAACAGCUUUGUCUGUGCCAUGUAAGGCUAGUUUUCUCAUGGAUUUUAAAAAAAGGGAAAAAAAGGAAAAGAAAAGAAGGAAACACAGAGACAUGCUGCCAUUAAAUACUGCAGAGCUGGUGUGGGACUGAAAUUGGGAUAACCGCAUCUGGAUUUAUUCUGAGGUACCCAGCAUUCGAUACAGAUGUAUGAAGGAGGAUCACUGUAACAUUUCCAUCACAUCCAGUCAAUAUUAACUGUAAGC